AAUGCAAGCCGUUCUAUCGCUGCGAACUCGUUUCGGAGAGGAAAGUCCGGGCAACAUAGAGCAUCUCGCUUCCUAACGGGAAGAGGUUCAGGAAUGAAUACCUGCAUCAUGGAAAGUGCCACAGAAAGCACACCGCCGAUGGCUCAAGGCACAGGUAAGGUUGAAAACGUGAGGUAAGAGCUCACGAUUGUUCCGGGAGACCGGAAGAUUUGUAAACCCCGGGAGUUGAAAGACCAAAUAGGCUAACGCAUGUAGGGCUGCUCGUUCGAUGUUAGUGGGUAGGUCGUUAGAGAUAAAUGGCAACAUUUAUACUGGAUUAAUGAUAGAAGUCUAAUUUUAUUGGAUACAGAACCCGGCUUAUAGGCUUGCAUUUUUU
rnacentral:RNase_P_RNA from 1 species